rnacentral:rRNA from 1 species
CCUGCACCUGCCGGCGACCGGCGCACGGGUGAGUAACACGUAUGGAACCUGGCCCGCCACAGGGGGAUAACCCGGGGAAACCCGGCCUAAUACCCCAUGCCGCCCGGACCGGGCAUCCGGUCCGGGCGAAAGGAGGAAUCCGGUGGCGGCUGGGCAUGCGGCGCAUUAGCUUGACGGCGGGGUAACGGCCCACCGUGGCGACGAUGCGUAGGGGUUCUGAGAGGAAGGCCCCCCACACUGGAACUGAGACACGGUCCAGACUCCUACGGGAGGCAGCAG